CAAGGCGAGCGUGCGAUGCGGUGAAUACUAUAAGCACUAAACCAUGGUGCAGGAUUUGAGCUCAAUAUAUAUCAUCAUCAUCAUAACAGUAAUUAAAUACUCAUCUGUGCGUCCACCGCACCAUUUCAUACAUAUGCAUCAUAAAUCAAUUCUUACCUGUGCGUCCACCGCACCAAUUCAUACAUAUGCAUCAUAACUCAAUUCUUACCUGUGCGUCCACCGCACCAAUUCAUACAUAUGCAUCAUAAAUCAAUUCUUACAUGUGCGUCCACCGCACCAAUUCAUACAUAUGCAUCAUAUAUUAAUUCAUGCAUGGCAUUUCAACUCACAUUUCUAUAUACUUUUCAUAUCAAUUCUAUGCAUGGUAUUUCACUUCCCGUUUUUCCACAUAACUCAUAUGCAUUUCAUUUUAAACAUAUUUUCAUUUCAAUUCAAUUUCUGGGAAACGUCAAGUAUAUAUAUAUACGGAAAACAAAACUGCCCACUCACCUGGAGAGUUCGUCCAACAACUCCCUAGCACCACACAUCAAGGCGUCAUGACGAUCGCCGCCUAGAAUAGUAAUCAAAUCCAGGCUCAGAAUUCAUAUCGAUAGAAUACAUAACUUAUAUAAAAUACGUCACUACGUUGAUCGAUCCGGAAGAUCUGCCACUCAGAUUUUAAAUCCAUAACUUCCAGAGGUCCACAUUAUACCUCUAGGACAACAUCCUAAAAUUUCAUUACCAUCCAACGGUCGGAUCUCCGUCAAUUUCCAAAACUAAGUGACGGUUAACAUUUUAUAUUAUGGACUUACAAUUCCAAUUCCGGAAGAUCCGUAACUCGGAUUCCCAAUCCGUAAGUUCCAAUAAUCCUCAAAUAUUACGUAUUACAACGUAUCAAAGUUUGGUGACGAUCCAACGGUCGGAUCAUCAAUUCACAUUUUCACCUAAAUGUGAAAACUAUAAAACGUUAUUUGAACACCUAACCAACAAUCUUCAAUAACUUUCUCAUACGGUGUUCAAUUUAGGUAUAUGAAUAUACCACAGUGAUCUACUCGACGUCACGGACGUCGACAUAUUUUUAAAAUAAUUUUAUUUUUAUUUUUUAUUUUUACUGUAGCACCUUCUUCUUCCUUGGGUCGCCGGACUGGUUUUUCCGGCGGCCGUUUUCCGGGCAGUUUUUUCAAAUUGCCAUAACUUUGUCAUUUCUCAACGAAAUCAAGUGAUUCAAAAACGAAAGUUGUAGCCCUUGAAGAGACAAAGAGAAUGGUACCUUGCACAACACCUAGUUCUCCGUGGUUUGGCCGGAAACUGCCUCGAAAGCCUCGGAGGUCGCCGGAAACUGGGUAUUUUUCAAAUGAGUAUAACUUCUUCAAUACUCAACGAAAUUGAGUGAAACAAAAAGGAAAGUUGUAGUACUUGACGAGACGAAGAGAUUGAUACCUACCUCGACUUCUAACUCUCCGGGGAUUCGCCGGAAAACGCCUCGAAAGCUCCGGCCAAACUUUGAACUUGUCGAUCUCCGUGUUCUUACGUCCAAAAACUUCCAACGAAGCACUCCGAGCUUCCUUGGGACCUCACUAAGCUUGCUAUGACCUUAUUUUGGCCUAAAACACAACCACUUCAAAGAUCAUGAACAGUACACAUUCACGGGUCUUUAGAACUAGGGUUUUUCGAAAUGAAACUUACCUGAAAUUGGUAUCCCCGUGCUCGUGAAGUCCCCAGGAUCACGAUGGUGGUCUUAAAUGGAACGUUGGUACAAGAUUGUGGUGGUUCUUGGUGGUUGCCCGUGCGUUCGAGAAGAAGAGAGAGAGUGAGAGUUUCUGAGGAAGAGCUGAGGAAGAGAGAGAGAGUGAAAAUCUGAAAUGGAAGAAGAAGAGAGAAGAAAGGUUACGGGUUUUAGGGAGGGAAUUCAGGGUAGGAGGCCCUACCUAAGUCCAAGCACAAAUUAACACAUACAAAUAUAAAUCUAACCCUAGUUUAGGAUCUUAAAGUAAAACAAAUGUCAUACAUUUACACACCUUAAUCCCGUUUAAGGUCACAUUGGUCAUCUCACGUCCUCGGAAUUAAUAAUUCCGGGACGGGCUGUGACAAUCUCCCCUCCUUAUAGAAUUUCGUCCCCGAAAUUCCAAUCACCAACCAGAACAUCAAAACUCAUAAAAUAGUCUCGGAUACAUAACUCUCAUCCGUUCUUCUGUCUCCCAUGUAAUUUUCUACUGAAUGAUUUCCUUCACAAAGCUUUUACUACUUACUCUGUCUUAAUUCUUAGGACCUUCUUUUUCUAAUUCUCGUCAUUUCUGUUCGCGGUGAAUUUUCCAAAAAUAUCAAACCAUUUACCUUACACACUCGAUUAGUGGCAUAUCCAUCUGUUGAUCUCUUUUGCCAUUCCUGGUUACUUCAGGUUAACUUAAUCACCUGAAUACUUUGAGGACUCAUCCAUAGUCUCAGGGUCUACUAAAACUCUUUCUUGAUCGAAUCUUUCUCUACCCAGAAACAUUCCAUUCACAAGUCAUCAAAAACCGACUCACGUGACACAUUUCAUGGUCCUUAUGGCGUUACUUCGGAAACUGCACAACCAACAUACUUAAGAAACUUAGCAGUUCCGUAAUCCAAUUCUCUUUUCCAUAAAACAAAUAAGUAGUGUUGCACUGUCUGGGAAAGGUUGUUACUCAACACUGGAGUAAAUGUACUAACUUGUUACUUAACAAGUAUAACUUCUUCUCGAUCUUCCAUUCUUAACUUUACUUUAGUUGGUUUCCAAUCCACAAGAAGAUAAUCUUGGCAAACGUGCCAGACAUUAAUCUUACUGUAGUCUUCUCGCCAAGUGCUUGAGCUAGAACAAACUUUACGAUCACCCUGAUCGUACAAUCAUGUUCAUUAAGCAAUACAAUUCACUUUCGCUGCCUCAUAUCAAAAUCCUUCCAAGUAAUGGAUAUUGAAGACUUUUUGGAUUCGUAAAAAUCUUGCAUUCUUACCAAAUAUAAUGCCUUCAUAACUUCACAGCAAGAAUGGUAAUCAUGACUUCCAAGUCACCCGUAGGGUAAUUCAUCUCAUGAGGUUCCAUUUAUCGUGAAACGUAUGCAAUCACCCUAACAUUUGCAUCAACAUGCAUCCAAUACCAUUCAAGAAACAUCACUAAAAAUUUAUGAUUACCAUUAUUCUCUGGGAUUACUAAAAUACGUGCAUGAGUGAGGAAAUACUUCAGUUUGUUGAAUCCUUUGCUCACAAUUUCCUUCCCACUCAUACAUAACCUCCUUUCUCAACAGUCUCAUCAAUGACAAAACAAUGACUAAAAAUUCUUUCACAACCAUCCAAAAUAGCCUGAUAAGUUAAGAAUUUCCGAAUCUCAAUUAUGGCUUGUGGUUGUUCCAAAUUCUCAAUUCUGCUGCCUUUUAAGAAUUCAUUUGAAUACCUUAAGCAGAUAUAACCAAUCUCAGAAUGCCACUUGAUUCAUCCAACAUUCGCAUUUGCUAAACUUAGCAUACAACCAACGUUCUCUUAAUCUUUGCUUCACCGACUUAAUACGUUUACAUGCUCUGCUCUAGGCUUAGAGUAUACCAGAAUAUCUUCAAUGAAAAUGAUAUCUAUUUAUCAAGGCAUUAUUGGAAUACUUCAUCCAAUAACUCAUAAAAUAGCAUGAGUAUCCAUAUAGCAUCACCAAACUUCAUAAAGACUAUAACGAGUCCAGAAAACCAUCUUAUGAUCAAUGUCACUUAUAAUAUUCAAUUGGUAGUAACCAGAUCUCAAUUCAAUCUUUGAAUCUUCGCAAUUACUUCUGAGCUGGUUAAAUAAACAUCAGUACAUCACCAUGGAUAACGGUUCUCAAUCGUUACCCGACUCCAUUGUCUAUAAUCAAUGAACAGUCUCAAGAUCCAUUUUUCUUCCUCACCAACAAACUGGGCUCCUCAAAAGUGUUGUACUAGGUUGAAUAAAACUUUUAUCAACCAAUUCUCUCAACUGAAUUUCCAAUUCCCUUAACUCAUCCUGAACCAAUCUCCAAUAUAAAUUUAUACCUGGCAACAAAUCAAUAAUGAACCUCAUAUCUCUGCCUGAAGGCAAUCCAGGUAUACUUUCAAGGAAGACAUCAAGAAAAGUCUAACUCUUUCGACAUUAUUCACACUACUCCAAACAACAUCAUUUAGCACCACAUGAGCUAAGUAUUUUUUUACAGCCUUUCGAAAACAAUCUCUUUGCUCUCACAGCAUAAAUAAUGGCUGAACUCAAUCCACUUUGCAUACUUACAAAAGUAAUCUCUGGUCAUCCAGAUCGAUGGAAAGUACUGGUUUCCCGUAACAUUCCGUCUUGUCACAAUUAUAACCAACCAAUCUAAUGGAACAGAAUUAACUGAUACAAUAUAUAUUCUAUUAUUAUUAAGCAUUCCAAAUAAGUACAAUACUAACAUAAAAUAAUCUACCGGUUUGCUUGCUUAACGAAUCCACGAAUGAGUUAUUAAUAUUACGGUCUGCAGCCCGCAAUACUGAUAAAUCAUCGUUGUCUCGAUAAGUAGGCAACCACUCUCAAAGAUAUAACAUUACUAUUUUGUCACUCAAUGCAAAAUACAUACACUCAUCUCAACUACAUUUAUUUACUACUCUCAAGGUAAUAACAUACAUAAUAAGAAAUAUAUCAGCCGAAGUCAACUAGAAUGAUCAAUACGGUUGAUUCAACUCUUAUCUCAAUAAUACGUCGGCCGGAUCCACUCCGCGUGGUCGGUACGGCCGAGCCUAUAACUCACAAAUUUCGCAUGUGUCAAUCGAAUCCACUUCUCGUGGCCUGUACGGCUGAACAUAUAACUCAUCAAAUCUCUCUGUACUCACAGUCAAUCCGACCAAACUACUAAGUUUAUAACUCUUCUGAAUCGACACUGUGAUAUCAUGGAAAAUUAUUGAGUACAACUGAUUCUAGGGACGAUUCACAAUUCUGUGUCCCCUCUGUUCACAUAAACACAUUCAUUAAUUUCACACUUCCCAAAGUGUUAAUUUUUGUACCUGCAGCACAAGGUACAUUUCCUUUACUCGAGACACCUUGUCUCAAAUAUCUGGGAUUACCAGUAUAUCCAUCACUUUUAUUCUGACCAGCGACAUUAAAACCUCAGCUAGAAGAAUUAACUCUAGCUUCACUUCUUUCAAAGCUCUAAAUCUUUCUAUAUUCUUGAUAUGACGAAUCAUUAACUUUAUCGUCUUCUUUUAAUUCCCAUUCAUUUCUUAUUCUUCUUUAUUCUCGUUGCUCAUGUUCUCAGAGUCCUCAAGAUUCAACAACAUCUCGUAUAUUCCUGGUAAGAAGUACAAUGGAUAGUGGUCACCCAAAAUACCACUUCCCUUUUUGCCACCCAACUUAAAACAACAUAACACCUCCACCAAAUUAACAACAAUAUCUGGAUGAAACGAGGCAAGUCUGAAAACUUUCUAUAAUAUCCCUCGAUCAUCACCUUCCUUGUCUCAUAUUUGUAAACUCUUGUUUACUACCAUCGAUAAAUGCCGGAGGGAUAAACUUUUCCUUUAAACAAGUCCUUAAACAAUUCUCAAUCGACUGAUUCCUCUGGUGACAACAAUUCAUACUCCUGUUUCCACCAGGAUACAAAUUCAUAACCAAAACCAGGUAGUCGUCUCGACCCCUUGUCAGAAGGAAAUUUCCUUUGACUUGCAUAAUCUGAAACAUCUUUUCCAAAUGGUUAAACCGUUACUUCGCUCCCUCAAGUUCAUCAUUUCAUAAGGUGAUUCAAAUUCGACUCAUAUCCCGUCUUAAAAUGUCCCUUUUUAUAAUAGACUGAAUCACCAUAAUAAUAGUUUCUCCCAAAACCGCUAUAUUAGGGAGACUAAAUUCCUCUAACUACGUGGCUUGCUACGAGGCGGUGUAGUUCUGACAGAAUUCACUAGAACUUCUCAAGAUGUCCAAGAUUGCAACCAUGCUCUGAUACCAACUGACACACCCCGUCCCGAAGGAGGGCAUGCUGGCCGUCACGUGAGAGUGACGUAACCAUUUGCACAGUACGGAAGCUUUAAGAUACAAUUUAAAUUGAUACACCCGAAGGUGAGUCCUAAUUUUGUCCAAUCUGUCAGAACACCGUCGAAUUCCUCGUAGUCACCACACCUUUGUGAUUCCUGAACCUGGAGGGGCGCAAAACCAAAAUUGAGUGGGUCAGUAAAACAAUUCUUUUCCAAAUCCAAACAUUUAUCAAAACGUUGUAACCCCUCUCCGUAAAACCUGUAUACUUUCCCAGAAAUGUAAAAUAUAAAUAUACAUAUAUAUUUCUCAAUACUUCAAUUCAUUAACUCAACAUUUUCAUAUAAUUAUGCCAUGCCACAUCAUCUCAACAUUUCUCAUAUUUAAUUAUGCCAUGCCACAUCAUCUCAACAGUAAUAAGGUAUGAAUGCAUCAACAUAAUCAUAUCAGGUGCAAGAAAGUAAUCAACCGUAGGCCCUCUAAUAGCCCUGUACGGUUGAACCUAGAGCUCAAAAUCUAUCAUUAUCACUCUACCGGAGUCACCUCUGUGACCCGUCCGGCCUUCUGCACACAAGUUACGCUCUAGUGCUUCUCAUAAAUCAUCUGUGCACAUAAUCUAAGGUCACCCACCAGUCGGAAUCUCACUAACACUCUCGCGACUGGUCUGUCGUACCCACUCCGCGUGGACUGUACGACUAGCAUCUACUUGGAUCCAAGGCGAGCGUGCGAUGCGGUGAAUACUAUAAGCACUAAACCAUGGUGCAGGAUUUGAGCUCAAUAUAUAUCAUCAUCAUCAUAACAGUAAUUAAAUACUCAUCUGUGCGUCCACCGCACCAUUUCAUACAUAUGCAUCAUAAAUCAAUUCUUACCUGUGCGUCCACCGCACCAAUUCAUACAUAUGCAUCAUAACUCAAUUCUUACCUGUGCGUCCACCGCACCAAUUCAUACAUAUGCAUCAUAAAUCAAUUCUUACAUGUGCGUCCACCGCACCAAUUCAUACAUAUGCAUCAUAUAUUAAUUCAUGCAUGGCAUUUUCAACUCACAUUUCUAUAUACUUUUCAUAUCAAUUCUAUGCAUGGUAUUUCACUUCCCGUUUUUCCACAUAACUCAUAUGCAUUUCAUUUUAAACAUAUUUUCAUUUCAAUUCAAUUUCUGGGAAACGUCAAGUAUAUAUAUAUACGGAAAACAAAAACUGCCCACUCACCUGGAGUUCGUCCAACAACUCCCUAGCACCACACAUCAAGGCGUCAUGACGAUCGCCGCCUAGAAUAGUAAUCAAAUCCAGGCUCAGAAUUCAUAUCGAUAGAAUACAUAACUUAUAUAAAAUACGUCACUACGUUGAUCGAUCCGGAAGAUCUGCCACUCAGAUUUUAAAUCCAUAACUUCCAGAGGUCCACAUUAUACCUCUAGGACAACAUCCUAAAAUUUCAUUACCAUCCAACGGUCGGAUCUCCGUCAAUUUCCAAAACUAAGUGACGGUUAACAUUUUAUAUUAUGGACUUACAAUUCCAAUUCCGGAAGAUCCGUAACUCGGAUUCCCAAUCCGUAAGUUCCAAUAAUCCUCAAAUAUUACGUAUUACAACGUAUCAAAGUUUGGUGACGAUCCAACGGUCGGAUCAUCAAUUCACAUUUUCACCUAAAUGUGAAAACUAUAAAACGUUAUUUGAACACCUAACCAACAAUCUUCAAUAACUUUCUCAUACGGUGUUCAAUUUAGGUAUAUGAAUAUACCACAGUGAUCUACUCGACGUCACGGACGUCGACAUAUUUUUAAAAUAAUUUUAUUUUUAUUUUUUAUUUUUACUGUAGCACCUUCUUCUUCCUUGGGUCGCCGGACUGGUUUUUCCGGCGGCCGUUUUCCGGGCAGUUUUUCAAAUUGCCAUAACUUUGUCAUUUCUCAACGAAAUCAAGUGAUUCAAAAACGAAAGUUGUAGCCCUUGAAGAGACAAAGAGAAUGGUACCUUGCAAAACACCUAGUUCUCCGUGGUUUGGCCGGAAACUGCCUCGAAAGCCUCGGAGGUCGCCGGAAACUGGGUAUUUUUCAAAUGAGUAUAACUUCUUCAAUACUCAACGAAAUUGAGUGAAACAAAAAGGAAAGUUGUAGUACUUGACGAGACGAAGAGAUUGAUACCUACCUCGACUUCUAACUCUCCGGGGAUUCGCCGGAAAACGCCUCGAAAGCUCCGGCCAAACUUUGAACUUGUCGAUCUCCGUGUUCUUACGUCCAAAAACUUCCAACGAAGCACUCCGAGCUUCCUUGGGACCUCACUAAGCUUGCUAUGACCUUAUUUUGGCCUAAAACACAACCACUUCAAAGAUCAUGAACAGUACACAUUCACGGGGUCUUUAGAACUAGGGUUUUUCGAAAUGAAACUUACCUGAAAUUGGUAUCCCCGUGCUCGUGAAGUCCCCAGGAUCACGAUGGUGGUCUUAAAUGGAACGUUGGUACAAGAUUGUGGUGGUUCUUGGUGGUUGCCCGUGCGUUCGAGAAGAAGAGAGAGAGUGAGAGUUUCUGAGGAAGAGCUGAGGAAGAGAGAGAGAGUGAAAAUCUGAAAUGGAAGAAGAAGAGAGAAGAAAGGUUACGGGUUUUAGGGAGGGAAUUCAGGGUAGGAGGCCCUACCUAAGUCCAAGCACAAAUUAACACAUACAAAUAUAAAUCUAACCCUAGUUUAGGAUCUUAAAGUAAAACAAAUGUCAUACAUUUACA
rnacentral:lncRNA from 1 species